AAAGAACCUUUUUUUUAACCACCCAAAGCAAGAGUACAGAAAUCAAUAACAGCUCCUCUGAGGAAUGAUAACUCAACGGAGCUUGCAGGUAUACGCUGGUGAGGUGCCUGUGUGUGAAUGCACAAGAAGCAGCAGGAAGGAGUCAAAAGAGCAGCGCGAUCAGAAGCAGCAGCGAGAAUGAGCAACAGAAAUCCAGGCAACAUUUUCCCAAUCUUCUGCUGUUCAAUUUCUACUGGGGAGCCAGCAUCAGGAUGCAAGGAGACUGGACAAACUGGUGAGAAGAGCGGUCUCUGUAAUUGGAGCCACUUGAGAUGGUUGGAAAGAUGAACACUAAAGAUCUUAGAAGCCAUCCUCAACAACUCUGAUCACUCACUUUACAACAUCUUUAUGGAAAAAAAGAUUCCUCUCCCUUCAUUGUAAAAUAGAGAGAUAGAGAAAGUCAUUCGCACCCACAGCCAUCAGGCUUUUCAAUUCUCAUACAAAUAGCAGAUGAGCCAAUGCAGACAUGAAUUUCCCUCUGGGAUCAAUGAAGAUGUUCUGAUUCGUCUUAUUCUACAUGCCUCAAUGCAUCAUGUAGCUGUCGUGUAAUCGGGUAAUAAGAUAUUUACAUUAAUGAGCAGUUGAACAGCCCAAAGUGUAUACUUGUGAUAUGUGAAGCGUAUCAUACUUUAUUCAUGAUUUCUUUUCUUUUGUGUCUGAACUUGCGUUUAAAAAAUAAUAAUUUUUCAUAUAAUUGAAUUGUCUUGACUUUCUUUGUUAAAGUGAGUGUAUUUGUCUCUAUGUCAACAAAUGUUUGUGAACUACAUAAACAUCUGGCACAUAGAUGGGAAAUAAGACUUCAAUAUAAAAGUCUUUUAAAAUGUUUUAAAUAAAUAAAAACCCCAGCCGUCAUUUUACAGCCUUUUUUUGUCUCGUGUGUGUUUUUGGGACUUGGGCCGACAAAAGCAAAGAAAAAAAAAUAGUCAGGCGGGAAUACAAAAAAUAUUUUAUUUGAAUUAAUAGAACUGCCAUCAAGUCCAAUGUGUAAAAACACUGAAUGGUGAAAAAUCACUAGGAAAAAAAUGUAGCAUGAAGAUGUGGCUCAGUAUUGGCAUCACUUCUGAAAACACCAUGUCUGUGUUUGGAUGCUUCUUACUAAAAAACAAAAAAAAGUGAUGCCUGGAAAA